CACUUAUGUCAUUUUUCAUAAGUGGGCCAAAAACAGCAAAAAAGUAAGGCUAUAGCCUUAACUUUUCGUCCAUUUUUAGCCACUUAUGUCAUUUUUCAUAAGUGAGCCAAAAACAACAAAAAAAUAAGGUAACUUUUCGUCCAUUACUUAUGUCAUUUUUCAUAAGUGGGCCAAAAACAGCAAAAAAGUAAGGCUAUAGCCUUAACUUUUCGUCCAUUUUUAG